rnacentral:rRNA from 1 species
AUUGAACGCUGGCGGCAUGCCUUACACAUGCAAGUCGAACGGCAGCACGGGGCAACCUGGUGGCGAGUGGCGAACGGGUGAGUAAUGCAUCGGAACGUACCUUUCAGUGGGGGAUAACGUAGAGAAAGUUACGCUAAUACCGCAUAUUCUGUGUGCAGGAAAGCGGGGGAUCGCACGGCAUUGCACUGAGCGAGCGGCCGAUGUCAGAUUAGCUAGUUGGUGAGGUAAAGGCUCACUAAGGCUACGAUCUGUGGCGGGUCUGAGAGGAUGAUCCGCCACACUGGAACUGAGACACGAUCCAUGCUCCUACGGCAGGCAGCAGUGGGGAAUUUUGGACAAUGGGGGCAACCCUGAUCCAGCCAUGCCGCGUGAGUGAAGAAGGCCUUCGGGUUGUAAAGCUCUUUCGGCCGGGAAGAAAUCGCACGGGCUAAUACCCUGUGUGGAUGACGGUACCGGAAUAAGAAGCACCGGCUAACUACGUGCCAGCCGCCGCCGUAACAC